rnacentral:rRNA from 1 species
ACUUAAAUUGAAGAGUUUGAUCAUGGCUCAGAUUGAACGCUGGCGGCAGGCCUAACACAUGCAAGUCGAGCGGUAGCACAGAGAGCUUGCUCUCGGGUGACGAGCGGCGGACGGGUGAGUAAUGUCUGGGAAACUGCCUGAUGGAGGGGGAUAACUACUGGAAACGGUAGCUAAUACCGCAUAAUGUCGCAAGACCAAAGUGGGGGACCUUCGGGCC